rnacentral:rRNA from 1 species
AUUGAACGCUGGCGGCAUGCUUUACACAUGCAAGUCGAGCGGCAGCGCGGGGGCAACCCUGGCGGCGAGCGGCGGACGGGUGAGUAAGGCAUCGGAACGUAUCCCGUAGUGGGGGACAACGCCGGGAAACCGGCGCUAAUACCGCAUAUGGUCUACGGAGGAAAGCGGGGGACCCGCAAGGGCCUCGCGCUAUGGGAGCGGCCGAUGUCCGAUUAGCUAGUUGGUGAGGUAAAGGCUUACCAAGGCGACGAUCGGUAGCUGGUCUGAGAGGAUGAUCAGCCACACUGGGACUGAGACACGGCCCAGACUCCUACGGGAGGCAGCAGUGGGGAAUUUUGGACAAUGGGGGCAACCCUGAUCCAGCCAUGCCGCGUGCGGGAAGAAGGCCUUCGGGUUGUAAACCGCUUUUGGUCGGGACGAAAGGGCGCCUCUUAAUACGGGGUGUCGUUGACGGUACCGGCAGAAUAAGCACCGGCUAACUACGUGCCAGCCGCCGCCGUAAGAC